CCUGGUUUCAAAUCACCUCAUCUUAUAGCAUAUCAUCGUAUGAACAGGCACUGCCUGCAACAGCGCCCCUAGUUCAACGGCCUCGUUAUCCAGCCCGUGCAAAGUAAGCAUAAUCACCUGUUCUGUAUAUAAAAAAUGAUAGGAAUGUCCUCACGAGGGUAUCUCUUUCUCUUGCUCACAAUCAGUGAAAUUGACCGUUCCGUGAAGAGGCGGGUCAGUAAUAGAUAAGACGCGAUGGGAGUUUGGAGCUUUAAUUAAUUUCUUCACUAAAUAAAAUAUUACAUCCUAACAGGACUAAAAAAUCUUUUAAUGAAGUAACAAUUUAGGUAGGGGUGACCUCGGAGUAUAAAAAAACCUUCGAGUGAUAAAAGUCUAGCCUGACUAGUCAAAACGUAACAUCACAUAUUGAUCCAAAAUAUGUUCAACGGAACAAGUUACUCUAGGGAUAACAGCGCAAUCCUAUUUAAGAGUCCAUAUCGACAAUAGGGUUUACGACCUCGAUGUUGGAUCAGGACAUCCUAAUGGUCAGCAGCUCUAACAGUCGUCGUUAACAUGCGUCCGGAC
rnacentral:rRNA from 1 species